rnacentral:rRNA from 1 species
GGACCCGCACAAGCGGUGGAGCAUGUGGUUUAAUUCGAAGCAACGCGAAGAACCUUACCAAAUCUUGACAUCCUUUGACAACUCUAGAGAUAGAGCCUUCCCCUUCGGGGGACAAAGUGACAGGUGGUGCAUGGUUGUCGUCAGCUCGUGUCGUGAGAUGUUGGGUUAAGUCCCGCAACGAGCGCAACCCUUAAGCUUAGUUGCCAGCAUUAAGUUGGGCACUCUAAGUUGACUGCCGGUGACAAACCGGAGGAAGGUGGGG